CCUACGGGUGGCAGCAGUGGGGAAUAUUGCACAAUGGGCGCAAGCCUGAUGCAGCCAUGCCGCGUGUGUGAAGAAGGCCUUCGGGUUGUAAAGCACUUUCAGCGGGGAGGAAGGCGGUGAGGUUAAUAACCUCAUCGAUUGACGUUACCCGCAGAAGAAGCACCGGCUACUCCGUGCCAGCAGCCGCGGUAAUACGGAGGGUGCAAGCGUUAAUUGGAAUUACUGGGCGUAAAGCGCACGCAGGCGGUCUGUCAAGUCGGAUGUGAAAUCCCCGGGCUCAACCUGGGAACUGCAUUCGAAACUGGCAGGCUAGAGUCUUGUAGAGGGGGGUAGAAUUCCAGGUGUAGCGGUGAAAUGCGUAGAGAUCUGGAGGAAUACCGGUGGCGAAGGCGGCCCCCUGGACAAAGACUGACGCUCAGGUGCGAAAGCGUGGGGAGCAAACAGGAUUAGAUACCCCGGUAGUC
rnacentral:rRNA from 1 species